UGCAGUCGAGCGAAGCACCUUGACGGAUUUCUUCGGAUUGAAGCCUUGGUGACUGAGCGGCGGACGGGUGAGUAACGCGUGGGUAACCUGCCUCAUACAGGGGGAUAACAGUUGGAAACGGCUGCUAAUACCGCAUAAGCGCACAGUACCGCAUGGUACGGUGUGAAAAACUCCGGUGGUAUGAGAUGGACCCGCGUCUGAUUAGGUAGUUGGUGGGGUAACGGCCUACCAAGCCGACGAUCAGUAGCCGACCUGAGAGGGUGACCGGCCACAUUGGGACUGAGACACGGCCCAAACUCCCACGGGAGGCAGCAGUGGGGAAUAUUGCACAAUGGGGGAAACCCUGAUGCAGCGACGCCGCGUGAGCGAUGAAGUAUUUCGGUAUGUAAAGCUCUAUCAGCAGGGAAGAAAAUGACGGUACCUGACUAAGAAGCCCCGGCUAACUACGUGCCAGCAGCCGCGGUAAUACGUAGGGGGCAAGCGUUAUCCGGAUUUACUGGGUGUAAAGGGAGCGUAGACGGCAUGGCAAGCCAGAUGUGAAAGCCCGGGGCUCAACCCCGGGACUGCAUUUGGAACUGUCAGGCUAGAGUGUCGGAGAGGAAAGCGGAAUUCCUAGUGUAGCGGUGAAAUGCGUAGAUAUUAGGAGGAACACCAGUGGCGAAGGCGGCUUUCUGGACGAUGACUGACGUUGAGGCUCGAAAGCGUGGGGAGCAAACAGGAUUAGAUACCCUGGUAGUCCACGCCGUANACGAUGAAUANUAGGUGUCGGGUGGCA
rnacentral:rRNA from 1 species